CCUACGGGAUGCUGCAGUGGGGAAUAUUGGACAAUGGGCGAAAGCCUGAUCCAGCCAUGCCGCGUGUGUGAAGAAGGCCUUCGGGUUGUAAAGCACUUUCAGUGGGGAAGAAAGCCUUGGGGCUAAUACCCUCGAUGAAGGACAUCACCCACAGAAGAAGCACCGGCUAACUCCGUGCCAGCAGCCGCGGUAAUACGGAGGGUGCGAGCGUUACUCGGAAUUACUGGGCGUAAAGCGCGCGUAGGCGGUCUGAUAAGCCGGUUGUGAAAGCCCCGGGCUCAACCUGGGAACGGCAUCCGGAACUGGCAGGCUAGAGUGCAGGAGAGGAAGGUAGAAUUCCCGGUGUAGCGGUGAAAUGCGUAGAGAUCGGGAGGAAUACCAGUGGCGAAGGCGGCCUUCUGGACUGACACUGACGCUGAGGUGCGAAAGCGUGGGUAGCAAACAGGAUUAGAUACCCGAGUAGUC
rnacentral:rRNA from 1 species